AACAAAAACAUGUCUUUUUGAUUAUAAUUUAAAGUCUAGCCUGCCCAAUGAUUAUAAAAUUUAAUGGCCGCGGUAUUUUGACCGUGCUAAGGUAGCAUAAUAAUUAGUUUUUUAAUUGAGAACUGGAAUGAAUGGUUGGACAAGGAAAAUACUGUCUCAAGUUUAAUUUAAUUAGAAUUUUAUUUUUAAGUAAAAAAGCUUAAAUAUUUUUAAAAGACGAGAAGACCCUAUAGAGUUUUAUAUUAUAAAUUAUAGUUAAUUUAAGGAAUUAUUAUUUUUAUAUAAUUUAUAGUAUUUUAUUGGGGUGAUAGAAAAAUUAAAAUAACUUUUUUUAAAUUAUUCCAUUAAUUUAUGAAUAAGUGAUCCAUUAUUAAUGAUUAUAAGAUUAAAUUACCUUAGGGAUAACAGCGUAAUUUUUUUUAAGAGUUCAUAUCGAAAGAAAAG
rnacentral:rRNA from 1 species